UCUCCGUUGGUGAACCAGCGGAGGGAUCAUUACUGAGUUUACGCUCUAUAACCCUUUGUGAACAUACCUAUAACUGUUGCUUCGGCGGGUAGGGUCUCCGCGACCCUCCCGGCCUCCCGCCUCCGGGCGGGUCGGCGCCCGCCGGAGGAUAACCAAACUCUGAUUUAACGACGUUUCUUCUGAGUGGUACAAGCAAAUAAUCAAAACUUUUAACAACGGAUCUCUUGGUUCUGGCAUCGAUGAAGAACGCAGCGAAAUGCGAUAAGUAAUGUGAAUUGCAGAAUUCAGUGAAUCAUCGAAUCUUUGAACGCACAUUGCGCCCGCCAGCAUUCUGGCGGGCAUGCCUGUUCGAGCGUCAUUUCAACCCUCAAGCUCUGCUUGGUGUUGGGGCCCUACAGCUGAUGUAGGCCCUCAAAGGUAGUGGCGGACCCUCCCGGAGCCUCCUUUGCGUAGUAACUUUACGUCUCGCACUGGGAUCCGGAGGGACUCUUGCCGUAAAACCCCCCAAUUUUCCAAAGGUUGACCUCGGAUCAGGUAGGAAUACCCGCUGAACUUAA
rnacentral:rRNA from 1 species